rnacentral:rRNA from 1 species
UACGUAGGGGGCUAGCGUUGUCCGGAAUCAUUGGGCGUAAAGCGCGUGUAGGCGGUUCGGUAAGUCCGCUGUGAAAGUCGGGGGCUCAACCCUCGGAUGCCGGUGGAUACUGUCGGACUAGAGUACGGAAGAGGCGAGUGGAAUUCUCGGUGUAGCGGUGAAAUGCGUAGAUAUCGAGAGGAACACCUGCGGCGAAGGCGGGUAGCUGGGCCGACACUGACGCUAAGGCGCGAAAGCCAGGGGAGCGAACGGG